AGAGUUUGAUCCUGGCUCAGGAUGAACGCUAGCGGCAGGCCUAAUACAUGCAAGUCGAACGGGUUUGACCAGCAAUGGUCAGACUAGUGGCGCACGGGUGCGUAACACGUAGGUAACCUACCUUUUACUGGGGGAUAACACUGGGAAACCAGUGCUAAUACCGCAUAAGAUCAUGACCUGGCAUCGGGUAGUGAUUAAAGAUUUAUUGGUAAAAGAUGGGCCUGCGGCUGAUUAGCUAGUUGGCGGUGUAACAGACCACCAAGGCAAUGAUCAGUAGGGGUUCUGAGAGGAAGAUCCCCCACACUGGCACUGAGAUACGGGCCAGACUCCUACGGGAGGCAGCAGUAGGGAAUAUUGGGCAAUGGCGGAAACGCUGACCCAGCCAUGCCGCGUGCAGGAAGAAGGCGCUCAGCGUUGUAAACUGCUUUUGCCCGGGAAGAAAGGCUAGUACGCGUACUAGAGUCGACGGUACCGGGUGAAUAAGCACCGGCUAACUCCGUGCCAGCAGCCGCGGUAAUACGGAGGGUGCAAGCGUUGUCCGGAUUUAUUGGGUUUAAAGGGUGCGUAGGUGGCCUGUUAAGUCCGGGGUGAAAGCCCACAGCUCAACUGUGGAACUGCCCUGGAUACUGGCGGGCUUGAGUCCAGACGAGGUUGGCGGAAUGGAAGCUGUAGCGGUGAAAUGCAUAGAUAGCUUCCAGAACCCCGAUUGCGUAGGCAGCUGACUAGGCUGGUACUGACACUGAGGCACGAAAGCGUGGGGAGCGAACCGGAUUAGAUACCCCGGUAGUCC
rnacentral:rRNA from 1 species